AUGAACGCUGGCGGCGUGCCUAAUACAUGCAAGUCGAGCGAACAGAUGAGGAGCUUGCUCCUCUGACGUUAGCGGCGGACGGGUGAGUAACACGUGGAUAACCUACCUAUAAGACUGGGAUAACUUCGGGAAACCGGAGCUAAUACCGGAUAAUAUAUUGAACCGCAUGGUUCAAUAGUGAAAGACGGUUUUGCUGUCACUUAUAGAUGGAUCCGCGCCGCAUUAGCUAGUUGGUAAGGUAACGGCUUACCAAGGCAACGAUGCGUAGCCGACCUGAGAGGGUGAUCGGCCACACUGGAACUGAGACACGGUCCAGACUCCUACGGGAGGCAGCAGUAGGGAAUCUUCCGCAAUGGGCGAAAGCCUGACGGAGCAACGCCGCGUGAGUGAUGAAGGUCUUCGGAUCGUAAAACUCUGUCAUUAGGGAAGAACAAAUGUGUAAGUAACUAUGCACGUCUUGACGGUACCUAAUCAGAAAGCCACGGCUAACUACGUG
rnacentral:rRNA from 1 species